AUGCAGUCGAGCGGACCGACGGGAGCUUGCUCCCUUAGGUCAGCGGCGGACGGGUGAGUAACACGUGGGUAACCUGCCUGUAAGACUGGGAUAACUCCGGGAAACCGGGGCUAAUACCGGAUGCUUGAUUGAACCGCAUGGUUCAAUCAUAAAAGGUGGCUUUUAGCUACCACUUACAGAUGGACCCGCGGCGCAUUAGCUAGUUGGUGAGGUAACGGCUCACCAAGGCGACGAUGCGUAGCCGACCUGAGAGGGUGAUCGGCCACACUGGGACUGAGACACGGCCCAGACUCCUACGGGAGGCAGCAGUAGGGAAUCUUCCGCAAUGGACGAAAGUCUGACGGAGCAACGCCGCGUGAGUGAUGAAGGUUUUCGGAUCGUAAAACUCUGUUGUUAGGGAAGAACAAGUACCGUUCGAAUAGGGCGGUACCUUGACGGUACCUAACCAGAAAGCCACGGCUAACUACGUGCCAGCAGCCGCGGUAAUACGUAGGUGGCAAGCGUUGUCCGGAAUUAUUGGGCGUAAAGCGCGCGCAGGCGGUUUCUUAAGUCUGAUGUGAAAGCCCCCGGCUCAACCGGGGAGGGUCAUUGGAAACUGGGGAACUUGAGUGCAGAAGAGGAGAGUGGAAUUCCACGUGUAGCGGUGAAAUGCGUAGAGAUGUGGAGGAACACCAGUGGCGAAGGCGACUCUCUGGUCUGUAACUGACGCUGAG
rnacentral:rRNA from 1 species